AUUGAACGCUGGCGGCAGGCCUAACACAUGCAAGUCGAGCGGUAGCACAGAGAGCUUGCUCUCGGGUGACGAGCGGCGGACGGGUGAGUAAUGUCUGGGAAACUGCCUGAUGGAGGGGGAUAACUACUGGAAACGGUAGCUAAUACCGCAUAACGUCGCAAGACCAAAGUGGGGGACCUUCGGGCCUCAUGCCAUCAGAUGUGCCCAGAUGGGAUUAGCUGGUAGGUGGGGUAACGGCUCACCUAGGCGACGAUCCCUAGCUGGUCUGAGAGGAUGACCAGCCACACUGGAACUGAGACACGGUCCAGACUCCUACGGGAGGCAGCAGUGGGGAAUAUUGCACAAUGGGCGCAAGCCUGAUUCAGCCAUGCCGCGUGUGUGAAGAAGGCCUUCGGGUUGUAAAGCACUUUCAGCGGGGAGGAAGGCGGUGAGGUUAAUAACCUCACUGAUUGACGUUACCCGCAGAAGAAGCACCGGCUAACUCCGUGCCAGCAGCCGCAGUAA
rnacentral:rRNA from 1 species